UACGUAGGGUGCAAGCGUUGUUCGGAAUCACUGGGCGUAAAGGGAGCGUAGGCGGGAAGGUAAGUUAGGAGUGAAAUUUACGAGCUCAACUCGUGACGUGCUUCUAAUACUGCUUUUCUUGAGUAUGGGAGAGGGCGAUGGAAUUCCAGGUGUAGCGGUGGAAUGCGUAGAUAUCUGGAAGAACACCAGUUGCGAAGGCGGUCGCCUGGCCCAAUACUGACGCUGAGGCUCGAAAGCUAGGGGAG
rnacentral:rRNA from 1 species